rnacentral:rRNA from 1 species
AACGUAGGAGACGAACGUUAUCCGGAGUUACUGGGCGUAAAGGGCGUGUAGGCGGUUUGUUAAGUCUGGCGUGAAAGCUCUCGGCUAAACCGGGAGAGGUCGUUGGAUACUGGCGAACUAGAGGAUGGUAGAGGCGUGUGGAAUUCCGGGUGUAGUGGUGAAAUGCGUAGAUAUCUGGAGGAAUACCGGUGGCGAAGGCGGCAUCCUGGACCGACAUUGACGCUGAUGAGCGAAAGCUAGGGGAGCAAACGGG